CGGAGGGAGCUAGCGUUGUUCGGAAUUACUGGGCGUAAAGCGCGCGUAGGCGGCUUUGUAAGUUAGAGGUGAAAGCCCGGGGCUCAACUCCGGAACUGCCUUUAAAACUGCAUCGCUUGAAUCCGGGAGAGGUGAGUGGAAUUCCGAGUGUAGAGGUGAAAUUCGUAGAUAUUCGGAAGAACACCAGUGGCGAAGGCGGCUCACUGGACCGGUAUUGACGCUGAUGUGCGAAAGCGUGGGGAGCAAACAGGAUUAGAUACCCUGGUAGUCCACGCCGUAAACGAUGAUAACUAGCUGUCAGGGGCCAUGGGCUUUUGGUGGCGCAGCUAACGCAUUAAGUUUCCGCCUGGGGAGUACGGCCGCAAGGUUA
rnacentral:rRNA from 1 species